rnacentral:rRNA from 1 species
CAGUCGCCGCGGUAAUACGAGGGGGGCAAGCGUUGUUCGGAAUUAUUGGGCGUAAAGGGUGCGUAGGCGGUUCAGCAAGUCUCGUGUGAAAUCUUCGGGCUCAACCCGAAGUCUGCACGGGAAACUACUGGGCUUGAGUAAUGGAGAGGUGAGUGGAAUUUCCGGUGUAGCGGUGAAGUGCGUAGAUAUCGGAAGGAACACCUGUGGCGAAAGCGGCUCACUGGACAUUUACUGACGCUGAUGCACGAAAGCUAGGGGAGCAAACAGGAUUAGAUACCCCCGUAGUCCCUGUCUCUUAUAC